UUUCUGUCUAUUAUAUCAGAUAAUAAUUUUAAUAUUAAAAAAUACAGCAAUUCUUCAAGUAAUCCAGAAUAAAUCCCAGAAAGCUAUGGACACUACCUGAACUUGCUAGAAGACCUGCCCUUUCGAUAGGCCACUAUUUCUGCUAGAAGUUUUUACAGUUGUAUACAAAUAAGGAAGAUUCUUAUAGUUAUAUAUAAAUAAAAGAAAACUUAUUUUAGUAACAUUCAAUAAGUUCUAAAAUAUUCUUAAAUUUUUUUUGCACUAUUUAUUAUAAUUCUAAAAGCUAUGUAGCUUGAAUUUAACUUUACUGUGUUGAAUGGCUGUUAACAGUUCUAUUCUAUUAAACACUUAUAUUUUAGAUCAUUGUUUUAUUUUGCAUAAAUAAAGCAAGAAGAAUUUGAAGAGCAUUUCAAAUUAAAAUGACUAAUAUUUUGCAGAGCAAAAUUAAAUAAAUUAAGAAAGUGCCAUUACCAUGAAUAUUGUUAAAAAAAAAGUUUUUUCUGACACUGAAGAAAGUCAAUCUUUAAUACCAAACUAUAUCAAGGUUCAUGAAGCAAAAGUUGGGUGUCACCAAAAUUGCAGGGAUUGUUCAAAUGUUUUUAAAGCAUUUAUUGGUUCAGCUAUGAUUGGUAUGCCAUUUGCUGUUAAUCAAGCUGGAAUAGCUCUCUCACUUAUUGGUAUUUUUGUGAUUGCUGUAGCUACUGAUCAUUGCUGCAAUUUAAUUGUUCAAUGCAAACAAAUUGUUAUUAAAAAGAAGAUUAAAGAACUAAAUCCAUCGUCUUCUCGAUUGUCUUUUCAAGAAGAAGAAAAAAUUCUUAAUGAUACAAUUUCUUAUGGGAGUAUUGCUAAAUCUUGUCUUGGUGUGCCUGGAGUUUUAGCGGUCAAUAUUUCUGUUUUAACUACACAGUUUGGGUUUUCAAUUGGAUAUUUUAUUUUCUUGGGUAACACUUUACGUUCCAUAUUAAAACGCUACAUAUCAACAAAUAAUUCUCUUAACAAAACAUUGGCUGACCCAAGAAAUUUUUCACUAUUCCUAAGUGAUUCAAACAAGGAAAAAGCUAAUUUUGUUUUUCAGCCUAUGCAUUUUUAUAAAAAAAGGUUUGGUUUAUUAGAUUUAACCACUGACUCGAAAGCUUCGUUUGCAAUCUUACUAGUUAUUCCUGUAGUUUUUUUAAUAUUAGUUUCAUUCAUCCGAAGUCUGAGAAAGCUGGAACCAAUCAGUUUGCUGGCUAAUUUGUCACUAAUCAUUGCUUUUGUUGCAACUGCAAGUUAUUUGUUGGCUUCACUUAAUCAUAUCAGUUCAGAUAUUAAAUAUUUCAAACUGUCAACGUUUCCGAUUUUUUUUGGUCAAUUAACAGGGGCAUUUGAAGGCAUUGGAACUGUUAUACCAAUAGAGGGAAGCAUGGGAAAUAAUCGCGUUCGUUACCCAAAGUUUUUACACUGCUCACUUUUCAGUGUUUCUGUAAUAUUAGCUUCUUUUGGAAUUAUUGGGUAUAUAUCAUUUGGUGAUAAAACUUGUCAAAUUGCAACAGCCAACUUGAAUGGAUCAAUGGCCACUAUUCUUCAAAUACUAUUAUUUUUUGGUGUUUUAUUAACAUAUCCUUUGCAAAUUUAUCCUUGCAUAGAAAUCACAGAAGCAUUGCUUAUUAAAAUACCAAGCAAGAAUUAUCAGGAUCUGUACAAACACCAUUUUCACAAACAAGAUCCUUGGAUUUCGAUUUCAAUUUGCAACCAACAUUAGUAGAAGUGGGUUUGUAUUUAACUUGUGACUCGCGAAGGAUAAAUUGAUAGUAUCUAAGAAUAUCACCAUUAGAUGGAAGCUGUCUCUGUGGUAACUCCCUCAAUGGGUACUUCAAUAGUACCGCAAAUGGCACUACCGACCUUUUCAAUCUAA
rnacentral:misc_RNA from 1 species